CUCGCGGGUCGAUGAAGAACGCAGUUAACUGCGCGUCAUAGUGUGAACUGCAGGACACAUUUGAACAUCGACAUUUCGAACGCACAUUGCGGUCCGUGGAGACACAUCCAGGACCACUCCUGUCUGAGGGCCGGCU
rnacentral:rRNA from 2 species